CAGCGCCCCGUGACCGCGGCGCCCCGUGCAGAGGCGGGCACGGGCACGGCUGCGGUCGGUCCCGGAGCUCGGUCACCGCCUGUUCCACGGCCACUGACAACGCGUGAAACCGAACAGCUCCUCGGCUCGCUUCAUCUGCCAGCGCGGCCGGACUCUGUUAUGUUCGAGGCGAUGGUUCAAGGAGUGAAAUUACGUACACCAAGUCUCAUACCAAUUAAGACUUUAACCACUAAUUGCCAAGAAUAAAAGAAAAGCAACCUGAAGUGGAAAUAAGACAGCUUACAUCACGUCCAGCUUCACCAGGAGCACCAUUUGGACCAGGAGAACCCACAGGACCAGAGGGACCACGGGCACCAGGAGGACCAGAAACACCCAGGGGACCAGGUUCACCCUAAUACAGGAACAGUGAGAUGCCUGGAAGACCACGUUCUCCCCGAGAACCAGGCAGACCAAGAAUACCAGGAGCACCAAGAAUACCCUGAGGACCUGGGGUACCAGGAGGACCCUGUGAUGUGAAGAGCAUAAUUUUUAUAUUACAAGACAAUAAUAAAUUUAACAUACAUAUCUGUCAAUGAUACUGAAGAUUUCGUUCUCAGCUGCAACUUCUGCAGAUCACAGAAGACAUUUCUAUAAUUUUUUUGUUGAGAAACAAUGGGAGUAUUUCACAGAGGUACUCACUUCAAUAAGACAGAAAUGUGUAUGACCUUAAAAAAAGCCAGUAAUUUAGAUGUGCAAGCUUAAAGAUACUCAAAAUUAAUUAAUUUAUUUGCAUAGUUCUAAGUCAACCUGGGGGAAGACAACUUUAACAUCAUGAUCCCCACAAAUCAGAGUUUCUGAUGCAGCUAUGAAUUGAGAUUGUUCUAAAUGGAUGUUUACAUGUUCCCUUUUCCAUCCAUGAUGAUCAAUUUCAGAGCAGGAGACUCUGCUCCCCUUUCUCAGACUAAGUAUCAAUUUUUUCUCUAAUUAGUCAUAUUGCUUUCAUUUGCUCCACUUACAGAGAAAGAUACAACGCGCCACAAGAAAAACAAAGAGCAAAAAAAACCUGAUCCAGGGAUCAGGUUCACUUUUUAAAGGCGUGUUUGUCAAACACACCUAUAAACAAUUUCUUGUGUCUCACUGGAACUAUUUAAAAGCUUUGCUAAAUUUGUGGGUAAAACACAAAAGCCCUUCACAAACAUCGAAAGUAUCUUAGAAGCCAUAACAUUUACAUAAGAGAAACACCUUUAACGAGCUGUUAUACUCAGUAACUUACAGCAGCACCGGCCUCUCCAGAUGGACCUUUCUCACCAGCAAAGCCAGGCGGGCCAGCAAUACCUUGUUCACCAGUGCGGCCAACUGGUCCAACAUCACCACGCAGACCUCUAGGACCAUCUUUGCCAGCUGGGCCAGGAGGACCAGGGGGACCAGUGAUGCCCUAGGAUCGAAACUUCAUUAGUUACUUACAGCAGGGCCAGGAGGACCAACUCUUCCAGCAGCACCAGGGAAACCAGUCAUGCCCUAAAAAUGAUAGUGAAAAGGAAGAUUAAUUUUAAAAGCAACAAUAACUUCAUGAAAAGCAACAACAUCAGUACCAAAAGUUUGAAGACUUACAGGAGGACCAGCAUCACCACGAGGGCCAGCAGGACCAGCAGCACCAGCAGGACCCUAGGUAUGAAGGAUUGAAAAAGAGAGAUGGAAUAAGCAAAGGCAGUUAAUGUUCCCUAUUUACAAUAAGGGCUCAGUGUCUCUCUUGUGAUAGCUAAGGGUAAUUUUUACUCCAGCAGGAGGAUAACUAUCCUGGUACUAGGGUAUUAAGUUCUCACAGACAUUUAAAAUCAGCAUCAUAAGGCCUAGGAAGAGUUGCAUAUAAGGCAUUUAUGAUUCAAAUGAAUUUCCUUGCAAAUGUUAUGUGCAUCUAAACAAAUCUGGAAAUCAAAAUGUGAAAGUAGGGCAAAACCAGUAAGUCCCCCUUUUGCACUGUGUGACUUACACAUCCACAUAGUGCAAGAGCCUGGUGUUGGUCUAUUAAAAUUAUACAGUAAGUACCCCAAGUCAUGUUAUCU